GAUGAACGCUGGCGGCGUGCCUCAAACAUGCAAGUCGAGCGGGGCUAUGUAAUAUCGCAAGGUAGAACAUAGCCUAGCGGCGAACGGGUGAGUAACACGUGGGUAACCUGCCUGGAAGACAGGGAUAACGAUUCGAAAGGGUCGCUAAUACCUGAUAAUAUCCUUUCAUCGCAUGGUGAUAGGAAGAAAGGGGAAACCCGCUUUCAGAUGGGCCCGCGUCCCAUCAGCUAGUUGGUAAGGUAAAGGCUUACCAAGGCGACGACGGGUAGCCGGUCUGAGAGGAUGUACGGCCACACUGGGACUGAGAUACGGCCCAGACUCCUACGGGAGGCAGCAGUUGGGAAUCUUAGGCAAUGGACAAAGUCUGACCUAGCGACGCCGCGUGAGGGAAGAAGGCCUUCGGGUUGUAAACCUCUGUCAUGGGGGAAGAAGUAAGUGACGGUACCCAAGAGGAAGCCCCUGCUAACUACGUGCCAGCAGCCGCGGUAAAAGUCUCUAU
rnacentral:rRNA from 1 species